AAGUCGUAACAAGGUCUCCGUAGGUGAACCUGCGGAGGGAUCAUUAAAAGUUGACCCCCCCUUCGGGGAGGGAUGUCUCCAAACCCUUUGUCGUCCGACUCUGUUGCCUCCGGGGCGACCCUGCCUUCCGGCGGGGGCCCCGGCUGGACACUAUCAAACUCUUGCUAUCUUUGCAGUCUGAGUAACUUUAAUUAAUAAAUUAAAACUUUCAACAACGGAUCUCUUGGUUCUG
rnacentral:misc_RNA from 1 species